CCUACGGGUGGCAGCAGUGGGGAAUAUUGCACAAUGGGGGAAACCCUGAUGCAGCGACGCCGCGUGAGUGAAGCAGUAUUUCGGUAUGUAAAGCUCUAUCAGCAGGGAAGAAAAUGACGGUACCUGACAAAGAAGCCCCGGCUAACUACGUGCCCGCAGCCGCGGUAAUACGUAGGGGGCAGGCGUUAUCCGGAUUUACUGGGUGGAAAGGUAGUGUAGACGGCAGAGGAAGGCUGAAGUGAAAGCCCGCGGGCCAACUUCGGGACUGCUUUGGAAACUGCCCGGCUAGAGUGCUGGAGAGGUAAGCGGAAUUCCUAGUGUAGCGGUGAAAUGCGUAGAUAUUAGGAGGAACACCAGUGGCGAAGGCGGCUUACUGGACAGUAACUGACGUUGAGGCUCGAAAGCGUGGGGAGCAAACAGGAUUAGAUACCCCUGUAGUC
rnacentral:rRNA from 1 species